UACGUAGGGGGCAAGCGUUGUCCGGAAUUAUUGGGCGUAAAGAGCGUGUAGGCGGCCAGAUAAGUCCGCUGUGAAAUCUCGAGGCUCAACUUCGAGCUGUCGGUGGAAACUAUCUGGCUAGAGUCCGGAAGAGGAGAAUGGAAUUCCUGGUGUAGCGGUGAAAUGCGCAGAUAUCAGGAAGAACAGCCCGUGGCGAAGGCGGUUCUCUGGGACGGUACUGACGCUGAGACGCGAAAGCGUGGGGAGCGAACAGG
rnacentral:rRNA from 1 species